rnacentral:snRNA from 1 species
GUAUUUACCUGGACAGGGUUAAUGGAUAAUCAUUAAGACUCGUUGCCUAGGCUGGUGACCUCCAUUGCACUUUGGAAGGGUGUCCACCUAAGGUCAGACCAAGUGAUUGAGCCUAUAUCCUAAUUUGUGGCAGCAGAGUCGUACGUUUGCACACCCCUACC